rnacentral:rRNA from 1 species
AACAAACGCUGGCGGCGUGCCUAACACAUGCAAGUCGUACGAGAAAGGGUCCUUCGGGGCCUGAGUAAAGUGGCGCACGGGUGAGUAACGCGUGGAUAAUCUGCCCUUCAGUUGGGAAUAACUCAUCGAAAGGUGGGCUAAUACCGAAUAAUGCUGUGAGACCUCGGUUGAUCAGCCAAAGAGAGCCUCUGCUUGCAAGCCCUCGCUGAAGGAUGAGUCCGCGUACCAUUAGCUAGUUGGUAGGGUAAUGGCCUACCAAGGCGACGAUGGUUAGCUGGUCUGGGAGGAUGAUCAGCCACACUGGAACUGAGACACGGUCCAGACUCCUACGGGAGGCAGCAGUGAGGAAUCUUGCGCAAUGGGGGCAACCCUGACGCGGCAACGCCGCGUGAGUGAGGAAGGUCUUCGGAUCGUAAAGCUCUGUCGGGUGGAAAGAACCGCAUAGGGGUAAACAGCCCCUGUGUCUGACGGUACCAUCAAAGGAAGCACCGGCUAACUCCGUGCCAGCAGCCGCAGUAACAC